rnacentral:rRNA from 1 species
AGAGUUUGAUCCUGGCUCAGGACGAACGCUGGCGGCACGCUUAACACAUGCAAGUCGAACGAGCGGAGAGAAGCUUGCUUUUCAAAGCUAGUGGCGGACGGGUGAGUAACACGUGAGCAAUCUGCCUUUCAGAGGGGGAUACCUGUUGGAAACGACAGUUAAUACCGCAUAAAAUAAUUUUACCGCAUGAUAAAAUUAUCAAAGAUUUAUCGCUGAAAGAUGAGCUCGCGUCUGAUUAGCUAGUUGGUAAGGUAACGGCCUACCAAGGCAACGAUCAGUAGCCGGACUGAGAGGUUGGACGGCCACAUUGGGACUGAGACACGGCCCAGACUCCUACGGGAGGCAGCAGUGGGGGAUAUUGCACAAUGGGGGAAACCCUGAUGCAGCGACGCCGCGUGGAGGAAGAAGGUUUUCGGAUUGUAAACUCCUGUCGUUAGGGACGAUAAUGACGGUACCUAACAAGAAAGCACCGGCUAACUACGUGCCAGCAGCCGCGGUAAAACGUAGGGUGCAAGCGUUGUCCGGAAUUACUGGGUGUAAAGGGAGCGCAGGCGGACCGGCAAGUUGGGAGUGAAAUCCAUGGGCUCAACCCGUGAAUUGCUUUCAAAACUGCUGGCCUUGAGUAGUGCAGAGGUAGGUGGAAUUCCCGGUGUAGCGGUGGAAUGCGUAGAUAUCGGGAGGAACACCAGUGGCGAAGGCGACCUACUGGGCACCAACUGACGCUGAGGCUCGAAAGCAUGGGUAGCAAACAGGAUUAGAUACCCUGGUAGUCCAUGCCGUAAACG